AUUUCCCUGUGCUGUUGGUGAUCUGCGGUGUGUGUUGAGCCAACUCUCAUUAAAAGGGUACUUCCACUGGUAGAUGAUGGAAAAUCGUUCGCGAAUUUCCUGAAGAUAGCACGAAGCUGCCCACCUAAUUCAUUAGGUUUAACUGUCCUGCAGACACGGCAGUGUGGGGAAAUC
rfam:Desulfobulbus sp. Tol-SR contig_13, whole genome shotgun sequence.